GUGACCCUACUGUGUGCGUGUAAUGCCGAUAUGUUUUGAGCCAACACUUCAACAUUGGGAGCCUGGGCUCUGUUUAUGGCGUGUAGGCCCUUUAUGGGAAACCCAUGAGUAAACAGGAGGGCACCCACCUGCCGAGGCAGGUUCAAAACAACGACAGAACGGCAUAGCGGGGAGUGU
rnacentral:other from 2 species